rnacentral:misc_RNA from 1 species
GAUGAAGAACGUAGCGAAAUGCGAUAAGUAAUGUGAAUUGCAGAAUUCAGUGAAUCAUCGAAUCUUUGAACGCACAUUGCGCCCGCCAGUAUUCUGGCGGGCAUGCCUGUUCGAGCGUCAUUACAACCCUCAUGCCCCCGGGCCUGGCGUUGGGGAUCGGCGGAAGCCCCCUGCGGGCACAACGCCGUCCCCCAAAUACAGUGGCGGUCCCGCCGCAGCUUCCAUUGCGUAGUAGCUAACACCUCGCAACUGGAGAGCGGCGCGGCCACGCCGUAAAACACCCAACUUCUGAAUGUUGACCUCGAAUCAGGUAGGAAUACCCGCUGAACUUAAGCAUAUCAAUAAGCGGAGGA